rnacentral:rRNA from 1 species
CCUACGGGAGGCAGCAGUGGGGAAUAUUGCGCAAUGGGCGAAAGCCUGACGCAGCGACGCCGCGUGAGGGAUGAAGGUCUUCGGAUCGUAAACCUCUGUCAGCAGGGAAGAACGGUCACUGUGCUAAUCAGCAGUGAAUUGACGGUACCUGCAAAGGAAGCACCGGCUAACUCCGUGCCAGCAGCCGCGGUAAUACGGAGGGUGCGAGCGUUAAUCGGAAUUACUGGGCGUAAAGCGCUCGUAGGCGGUAUGUCAAGUCAAGGGUGAAAUCCCCGCGCUCAACGUGGGAACUGCCUUUGAAACUGGCAAACUGGAGUGUGUGAGAGGAUAGUGUAAUUCCAGGUGUAGGAGUGAAAGCCGUAGAUAUCUGGAGGAACAUCAGUGGCGAAGGCGACUAUCUGGCACAUAACUGACGCUGAGGAGCGAAAGCGUGGGUAGCAAACAGGAUUAGAUACCCCGGUAGUC